ensembl:lincRNA linc-89 ncRNA
UUAAAACUGCCAUUAAAUUCGCAAAAAAUGUAGUAUUGGCAUUUCCUAUCAAAUCGGUUGUGUGUUUUCUCUUUCACGUAGUUGGUGGAAUUUUUUUGAAUUUUUUAGUCUUCAAAACCUACGAACAAGUAAUUUCUAAUAGAAACGUGGUAACAAAAAUUAAUUUCUUUGUUUGAAAAGAAACAAUUGCACGUAUUUUUCUCCUUAGAAUAUUAAUUUAAUUUAUUUAUUCUUCACAAUGCCACAUCUCUCCACGUGUGUACAACAACAACUAAAAAACUAAAUGUAUUCAUUUCUCGACUCUCUCGUCUUAGCUUUUUGUGAAAGCAUCGGAAAUGUGGUGCCUCGGAUAUUUGUCAACCUCUAUAGGAACUAUAGGACUAUAGGAACGAACUCGGUGGAUUGGAGAUUUAUAGAUGAGUCCCGAGAACAGCUCUAAUGCUCAGCUACAAUGCUCUAUAAGCCAUGUAGGAUUUGAGAAGGCAAACACGGAUCAACGAUCGGCAUAGGACGGACGCAUUCAAGGAACAACACAAGGAGUCCACGAGGAGAUGUUGCGACUUCGCGAAGAUUUUAUUAAUUUAACUUUUUUUUGGAAAUUUUUGUAUUUUUUCAAUCUUUUUUAUCCUUUCUGCAUAGCAAAUUGCAAUUUGCAAUUUGCAACGAUCGGACAACAGGUAAUUCUGAGUUUGAAAAAUUGUUGGGCGCAUGUGAAACAGAAAUUCUUUUGUGCUGCUGCUACAUAUUAGAUUUUCUGUACUGCUAUUAGAACUUCUGCUAUUAGAGCAAAUCUCUCAUUAGAGCAAUUUUAGUUUGAGAGCUCAGAUUAGGUAGGGGCAACGAGUACUUGGGUGGCUUGUCAUUUGGCAAGUUUGCUCUUGCGGUUUGCAACCUUCUGCUCAUAGAGCAACUAUCUUUUUAGAGAAAUUAUAGUUUACGAGUUUAUGAUAGGUAGGUGCAACGAGUACUUGGGUGGCUUGUCAUUUGGCAAGUUUGCUCUUGCGGUUUGCAAUCUUCUGCUAUUAGGGCAACUAUCUUUUUAGGGUAAUUAUAGUUUUUGAUAUCAUUUUAUUUAUGGUUUCAAAUUUGUGAACAGUCCGCCACCUUUCAAUUUGAUAAGAAUGAUUGUGGUUUUAACUGUGUCAACUGAAAAACGCAAAUUAAAACAGUAUACUUUCUAUCAGAAGAAGUUUAACAUUGGUUCAAUUCUUUGGAACUAAAAAGAAUUAGUACAUUGCUAGAAAAAUAUAGAAAAAUUUCCAUUUGCAAGGCAAUUUUCUGAAAAAACACUGUUGGUCGAAAAAAGAAAAAAUCAAUAACCAUUACGACGACCUCUCAAAACUCCUGAUUUUGAAAGAUUUAGGGUUCAAAAAGAUUGAAAAGAGCGUUUGUUGAAAGUUAAUGUUCAAAAAAAAACCGAGAAAUAUUAUCAACUUUACACGACUUCUUUUUCGACUGGGCAUGUCUGUAAUUUCUUUUUUGCAUGGCGGAAAUCUCUCGCUUUGUAGAUAAAAAUAAUAAAAGGUGAUACUUAAAGAAUACUUCAAUGCAAGUAUCCUAACUAGUAUAUUUCCAGCUUUGUGCUAUUUAUGCUGAUCAAACAAGCCAAUUUCAAGAAUCUACUGCAAUCGAAUUAAUACUCAUAUUGUUCGUGUUUGAUAUAAUUGUGACACCUUUAUUGAUUCAGCUAACCUAUUUGGGAUGCAAUAUAUUUGGUUUUAUGUCAAAGUUAAAAAAGAUUGCAAAUAGAAUUUGUAAUAAAACUGAUAAUGUUGUGGAGCCGCAGAGAUUUUAAAUAAUAAAUGUAGAAUAGCAAACAUAUUUGAAUGAAGUAUUUAUUUCG